rnacentral:rRNA from 1 species
UACAGAGGGGCAAGCGUUGUUCGGAAUUACUGGGCGUAAAGAGCUCGUAGGUGGUUUGUCGCGUUGUUCGUGAAAUCUCACGGCUUAACUGUGAGCGUGCGGGCGAUACGGGGCAGACUAGAGUACUGCAGGGGGAGACUGGAAAUUCCUGGUGUAGCGGUGGAAUGCGCAGAUAUCAGGAGGAACACCGAUGGCGAAGGCAGGUCUCUGGGCCGAAUACUGACGCUGAGGAGCGAAAAGCGUGGGGGAGCGAAACAGG